rnacentral:rRNA from 1 species
AUUGAACGCUGGCGGCAGGCCUAACACAUGCAAGUCGAGCGGAUGAAGGGAGCUUGCUCCUGGAUUCAGCGGCGGACGGGUGAGUAAUGCCUAGGAAUCUGCCUGGUAGUGGGGAUAACGUCCGGAAACGGGCGCUAAUACCGCAUACGUCCUGAGGGAGAAAGUGGGGGAUCUUCGGACCUCACGCUAUCAGAUGACCCUAGGUCGGAUUAGCUAGUUGGUGGGGUAAAGGCCUACCAAGGCGACGAUCCGUAACUGGUCUGAGAGGAUGAUCAGUCACACUGGAACUGAGACACGGUCCAGACUCCUACGGGAGGCAGCAGUGGGGAAUAUUGGACAAUGGGCGAAAGCCUGAUCCAGCCAUGCCGCGUGUGUGAAGAAGGUCUUCGGAUUGUAAAGCACUUUAAGUUGGGAGGAAGGGCAGUAAGUUAAUACCUUGCUGUUUUGACGUUACCAACAGAAUAAGCACCGGCUAACUUCGUG